CAUCAUGGCUCAGGACGAACGCUGGCGGCGUGCCUAACACAUGCAAGUCGAGCGGGGAACAGACGGUAGCUUGCUACUGUUUGUUUCUAGCGGCGGACGGGUGAGUAACACGUGAGCAACCUGCCUUUAUCAGGGGGAUAACGCAUCGAAAGAUGUGCUAAUACCGCGUAAGACCACAGCUUCACAUGGAGCGGGGGUCAAAGGAGCAAUCCGGAUAAAGAUGGGCUCGCGUCCGAUUAG
rnacentral:rRNA from 1 species